CCUACGGGUGGCUGCAGUGAGGAAUAUUGGUCAAUGGACGAGAGUCUGAACCAGCCAAGUAGCGUGAAGGAUGACUGCCCUAUGGGUUGUAAACUUCUUUUAUAUGGGAAUAAAAUGUUCCACGUGUGGGAUUUUGUAUGUACCAUAUGAAUACGGAUCGGCUAACUCCGUGCCAGCAGCCGCGGUAAUACGGAGGAUGCGAGCGUUAUCCGGAUUUAUUGGGUUAAACGGGUGCGUAGGCGGAAUGCAAAGUCAGCGGUAAAAUCGCGGGGCUCAACCUCGCUCCGCCGUUGAAACUGGCAGUCUUGAGUGGGGUAGAGGUAUGCGGAAUGCGUGGUGUAGCGGUGAAAUGCAUAGAUAUCACGAAGAACUCCGAUUGCGAAGGCAGCUUACUAAACUGCCACUGACAUUGAGGCUCGAAAGUGUGGGUAUCAAACAGGAUUAGAUACCCGUGUAGUC
rnacentral:rRNA from 1 species